CGCGUAGGUGGCUAGGUAAGUCGGACGUGAAAGCCCCUGGCUCAACUGGGGGAGGCCGUCCGAUACUAUCUGGCUUGAGGGUAGGAGAGGAGAGUGGAAUUCCCGGUGUAGCGGUGGAAUGCGUAGAUAUCGGGAGGAACACCAGUGGCGAAGGCGACUCUCUGGUCUAUCUCUGACACUGAGGCGCGAAAGCGUGGGUAGCAAACGGGAUUAGAUACCCCGGUAGUCCACGCCCUAAACGAUGAGGGCUGGGUGUUGGUGGCAUCUGCCAUCUGUGCCGAAGCUAACGCGUUAAGCCCUCCGCCUGGGGACUACGAACGCAAGUUUAAA
rnacentral:rRNA from 1 species